AUUGAACGCUGGCGGCAUGCCUUACACAUGCAAGUCGAACGGUAACAGGUCUUCGGAUGCUGACGAGUGGCGAACGGGUGAGUAAUACAUCGGAACGUGCCUAGUAGUGGGGGAUAACUACUCGAAAGAGUGGCUAAUACCGCAUGAGAUCUACGGAUGAAAGCAGGGGAUCGCAGGUCUUUGUGCUACUAGAGCGGCCGAUGGCAGAUUAGGUAGUUGGUGGGAUAAAAGCUUACCAAGCCGACGAUCUGUAGCUGGUCUGAGAGGACGAUCAGCCACACUGGGACUGAGACACGGCCCAGACUCCUACGGGAGGCAGCAGUGGGGAAUUUUGGACAAUGGGCGCAAGCCUGAUCCAGCAAUGCCGCGUGCAGGAUGAAGGCCUUCGGGUUGUAAACUGCUUUUGUACGGAACGAAAAGCCCUGGGUUAAUACCCUGGGGUCAUGACGGUACCGUAAGAAUAAGCACCGGCUAACUACGUGCCAGCCGCCGCAGUAAAAC
rnacentral:rRNA from 1 species